AGCGGCGCAAGGGAGAGUAACGCGUGGAUAUCUGCCCUCGGCUCCAGAAUAGCUACGGGAAACUGUAGGUAAUGCUGGAUAAUAUCUCCGGAUCAAAGGUGUGAUUCCGGCCGAGGAUGAGUCCGCGUCCUAUUAGAUUGUUGGUGGGGUAAUGGCCUACCAAGUCGAAGAUGGGUACCGGGUGUGAGAGCAUGGCCCGGCUCACUGGGACUGAGACACUGCCCAGACGUCUACGGACGGCUGCAGUCGAGAAUCUUCCGCAAUGGGCGCAAGCCUGACGGAGCGACGCCGCGUGCGGGAUGAAGGCCUUCGGGUUGUAAACCGCUGUCAGUUGGGAGGAAAUGCUAUGGGGUUCUCUCCAUAGUUUGACCGAUCUUCAGAGGAAGUACGGGCUAAGUACGUGCCAGCAGCCGCGGUAACACGUACCGUACGAACGUUAUUCGGAAUCACUGGGCUUAAAGAGUCCGUAGGCGGCUAUGUAGGUCAGGUGUGAAGUCCCACGGCUCAACCGUGGAACUGCGCUUGAAACCAUAUGGCUAGAGGGAGAUAGAGGAAAGCGGAACUGAUGGUGGAGCGGUGAAAUGCGUUGAUAUCAUCAGGAACACCGGUGGCGAAAGCGGCUUUCUGGGUCUCUUCUGACGCUGAGGGACGAAAGCUAGGGGAGCGAACGGGAUUAGAUACCCCGGUAGUCCUAGCUGUAAACGAUGAGCACUAGUUCGAGGGGACCCCCACAUCCUCUUGGACGUAGCGAAAGUGUUAAGUGCUCCGCCUGGGGAGUAUGGUCGCAAG
rnacentral:rRNA from 1 species